ensembl:lncRNA
UUGUCGGGGAGAGGUGUGUUUGCGGGGGAAAGCUUCCAGCCCUGGCUCAGCCGAUCCAGGAGGGGCCUGGUGCAUGCUGGGAAAGGACGCGUGGCCGGUGAGCUGGAGGUGUCCAGGAGGUUGUGGUAUCAGUGCACUGGCAGUAGUGCGAAGGAGCUGGAGGACAGGACGUCAUGUUGAGGGUGAUGCCAGGGAGGAAGGCUGGAAACAGGACAGCAUGAGGGGCGCGGUCUUUCUUGAUGCCCGGGGCGGGACGGUGGGCAGAGGGAUGCUCGGGUAGGGAGGAAGGGAACAUCGCUAAGGACAAAAAGUCUCCCGGGGUGACCGGGUGUGCCUCGUGGGCACUGAGGAGGGAUCAGAAGAGUGAGGCCUGAGAGAACAGCGAGUGUACCACGGGAGGAACGCGUUCACAGGCCGGGGGUGGGAGGGAGGAGAAUGGACAGGGGACUUGUAACGUCCCCGCACGUGGGGGGCUUCGGCAGUGGGCGACAGGACCCGGACGUCACGACCGGUCAGGUUCUUCAGUGGAGAGUUCCAAACAAGUUCCCAGACAAAACUCCCAGCCGACCAGGGCCAAGAGACUGGCACGGGCCUCACUGGGUGGCUGCGCGCAUGCCCAGAGCCAGCCAAUCGGAGUGCAGCCCCGCCCACCAAGCUCCGGAUCUUCCCGGACACCCUAACUUCCUGCCCGUGUUGCUAUGGUUCCGCGGACUGCUCGCUGUCCAGGGGUGGUUUGGCCGGACCCCGUCGAGAGAUUCUCUUCCUUUCUCUGGUCCUUACGGGCAUCCCCCUUAACUUUCGCGUCCACGCUGUCCAGUCCUCUGCGGGAAAACCCAGCAGAAACGAUGAAUUUUCUUCCGGGCUUGCGGCGUUUUGGUUUCUGUAGCCUGCAGGUGGCAGUGUUGCUCCACAGUGUCGCCGGGCCGGUUUUUUCCUCCGCCCUCGCGCUUUAAUAAAAUAACAGGAAGCUUUUGGCCACAAGAAACAGCUGGUUUGGUUUUAUUUUGUUUUCCUCCGCUUGUGCCGGUUGGCUGAUUCAGACUGCGUCUGAGCCCUUCAGAGAGCCCGUUGUGAGAACUUUCGCCGGACGCACUGACACUUAAAAAUCCAACAACAUAAUAUAAGCUGACAUAGUGAAUGUAGUGGAAGGAGUGGUUACCCUUGUCUUGCUUCCCAUCGUUGAGGAAUUCCUGUAUGUUUAAAGAGAACUUUAUUAUGACAGUGAGUUUUGACUUCAAAAUCAUUACGUGAAGUGGAAGUGAAAGUGGCUCAGAAGUGUCUGAUUCUUUAAGACCCCUUGGACUGUAGCCUGCCAGGCUCCUCUGCCCAUGGGAUUCUCCAGGCAAGAAUAAUGGAGUGGGUUGCCAUUUCCUUCUCCAGAGGAUCUUCCCAACCCAGCCAUUGAAUCUGGCUAUCCUGCACUGCAGGCUGACUCCUUACCAUCUGAGCCACCUACAAUAAUAACAUGAUGGGGACAAGUGCCAAGCUAAGAUCCUGCUGGGUAGUUGAUGCUGGACACCACCCAAGAAGCAGAUGCUAUUACUGCCCUCAUAUGCCUUUGGGACCUUGGGCACACAGAGGAAGAGUCAGCUCUCCGGGUUCUCAGGGUUCCUCAGAGAGUGUCCCUAUGUUCAGGUCUCAAGGCUGUCAGAUUGUAGCUUGCACACUGGUUUGCAGGAUACAUUCUCCUCCCCAGUGGAAGAGUGAAAGAAAAUGCUCACUGGGAUCGAGAGUAAGACAGCCUGCCAUGCUGCGGAAGACUGACUGCAGGAGAAGGGGAUGACAGAGGACAAGAUGGUUGGAUGGCAUCACUGACUCAAUGGGCAGGAGUCUGAGCAAGCUCUGGGAGAUGGUGAAGGACAGGGAAACCUCCUGACGUGCUGCAUGCAGUCCAUGGGGUCGCAAAGAGUCGGACACGGCCAACGGACUGAAAAGCAACAAUAACGUAUUUAUUACAAUGAGAUACUAAAUGAAAGGGGGCGGGGAGGGAAACUAUAUAGAAAAUGACUCAUCCACGCCAUCAAGAUUAUGACAUGAUAACACAUUUAUAAUGCAAAGCACCUGGAAGUAAUCAGCUGUUAAGGAGUACAAGUUGCUCAUCUCACUGCAAGUUUCUUAAUAUGUGUCUCAGCAUUUUCCUCAGCACUUGGAACCAGCCAACCGGCGCAAGCACAGGAAAAAUAUCCGUCGCUGAUUACCGCAAAAAGCUUUGAAAUAUUUUUUCAACCCGGACGGGUACAGGAGGAACGGGCAAGCGGCUCCGCGGAGCAACACUGCCCCCUGCAGACCACAGAAACCAAAAUGCCAGCA